GACGAACGCUGGCGGCGUGCUUAACACAUGCAAGUCGAACGGAGUGGCGAGCGGGUGAGUAACACGUGGGUGAUCUGCCUUGCACUCUUGGGUAAGAUUGGGAAACUGGGUCUAAUACCGGGGAGUGCAAGAUGAGCUCGCGGCCUGUCAGCUUGUUGGUGGGGUAAUGGGCUACCAAGUAGUCGACGGGUAGCCGGCCUGAGAGGGUGUACGGCCAGAAUAGGACUGAGAGACGGCCCAGACGCCGACGGGGGGCAUAAGUGGGGAAUAUCGCACGAUUGGCGGAAGCCUGAUGCAUGGAGGCCGCGUGGGGGAUGACGGCCUUCGGGUUGUAAACUCCUUUCGACAGGGACGCGGUACCUGUAUAAGAAGCACCGGCUAACUACGUGCCAGCAGCCGCGGUAAUAC
rnacentral:rRNA from 1 species